rnacentral:rRNA from 1 species
GACGUAGGGGGCCAGCGUUGUUCGGAUUUACUGGGCGUAAAGGGCGCGUAGGCGGUCAGCACAAGUCAGUUGUGAAAUCUCCGGGCUUAACUCGGAAAGGUCAACUGAUACUGUGCGACUAGAGUGCAGAAGGGGCAACUGGAAUUCUCGGUGUAGCGGUGAAAUGCGUAGAUAUCGGGAGGAACACCUGUGGCGAAAGCGGCGCACUGGACCACAACUGACGCUGAGGUGCGAAAGCGUGGGGAGCAAACAGG